GCAGUCGAGCGAACAGAUAAGGAGCUUGCUCCUUUGACGUUAGCGGCGGACGGGUGAGUAACACGUGGAUAACCUACCUAUAAGACUGGGAUAACUUCGGGAAACCGGAGCUAAUACCGGAUAACAUAUUGAACCGCAUGGUUCAAUAGUGAAAGGCGGCUUUGCUGUCACUUAUAGAUGGAUCCGCGCCGUAUUAGCUAGUUGGUAAGGUAACGGCUUACCAAGGCAACGAUACGUAGCCGACCUGAGAGGGUGAUCGGCCACACUGGAACUGAGACACGGUCCAGACUCCUACGGGAGGCAGCAGUAGGGAAUCUUCCGCAAUGGGCGAAAGCCUGACGGAGCAACGCCGCGUGAGUGAUGAAGGUCUUCGGAUCGUAAAACUCUGUUAUCAGGGAAGAACAAAUGUGUAAGUAACUGUGCACAUCUUGACGGUACCUGAUCAGAAAGCCACGGCUAACUACGUGCCAGCAGCCGCGGUAAUACGUAGGUGGCAAGCGUUAUCCGGAAUUAUUGGGCGUAAAGCGCGCGUAGGCGGUU
rnacentral:rRNA from 1 species